AUUGAACGCUGGCGGCAGGCCUAACACAUGCAAGUCGAGCGGAUGACGGGAGCUUGCUCCUUGAUUCAGCGGCGGACGGGUGAGUAAUGCCUAGGAAUCUGCCUGGUAGUGGGGGACGACGUUUCGAAAGGAACGCUAAUACCGCAUACGUCCUACGGGAGAAAGCAGGGGACCUUCGGGCCGUGCGCUAUUAGAUGAGCCUAGGUCGGAUUAGCUAGUUGGUGGGGUAAUGGCCCACCAAGGCGACGAUCCGUAACUGGUCUGAGAGGAAGAUCAGUCACACUGGAACUGAGACACGGUCCAGACUCCUACGGGAGGCAGCAGUGGGGAAUAUUGGACAAUGGGCGAAAGCCUGAUCCAGCCAUGCCGCGUGUGUGAAGAAGGUCUUCGGAUUGUAAAGCACUUUAAGUUGGGAGGAAGGGCAGUAAGUUAAUACCUUGCUGUUUUGACGUUACCGACAGAAUCAGCACCGGCUAACUCUGUGCCAGCCGCCGCGGUAA
rnacentral:rRNA from 1 species